GAUGAAAGAACGCAGCGAAAUGCGAUACUUGGUGUGAAUUGCAGAAUCCCGUGAACCAUCGAGUCUUUGAACGCAAGUUGCGCCCGAAGCCAUUAGGCCGAGGGCACGCCUGCCUGGGCGUCACACGUCGUUGCCCCCCCAUCUACUCCUUCGGGAUUGCGGGGGGCGGAUGAUGGCCUCCCGUGCGCCUCGCCGCGCGGUUGGCAUAAAUGCCAAGUCCUCGGCGACGCACGCCACGACAAUCGGUGGUUGCGAAACCUCGGUUGCCCGUCGUGUGCGGUCGUCGCGCAUCGAGGGCUCGAAAAAAUUGCCGGGUUCCGGCUCGGCUUUCAACGCGACCCCAGGUCAGGCGGGGUUACCCGCUGAAUUUAAGCAUAUCAAUAAGCGGAGGA
rnacentral:misc_RNA from 1 species